UGAUGGUGGUGAGGGCAAUUUCUCAGUAUACCCUUAAAUCUUUUCCACGCUUGGUAAAGAUUUUAUCUUUUUUUCUAUUUAAAAUGCAGAAUGUCCCUUCUCAAAUG
rfam:Capsicum annuum cultivar Zunla-1 chromosome 7, whole genome shotgun sequence